AUGCAAGUCGAGGGGUAUGCUUCUUCGGAAGCAGAGACCGGCGCACGGGUGCGUAACGCGUAUGCAAUCUACCUUUCACAAAGGGAUAGCCCAGAGAAAUUUGGAUUAAUACCUUAUAGUAAUACGACUUGGCAUCAAGAUGUAUUUAAAGAUUUAUCGGUGAAAGAUGAGCAUGCGUCCCAUUAGCUAGUUGGUAUGGUAACGGCAUACCAAGGCUACGAUGACUAGGGGAUCUGAGAGGAUGACCCCCCACACUGGUACUGAGACACGGACCAGACUCCUACGGGAGGCAGCAGUAAGGAAUAUUGGUCAAUGGAGGCAACUCUGAACCAGCCAUGCCGCGUGCAGGAAGACAGCCCUCUGGGUCGUAAACUGCUUUUAUUCGGGAAUAAACCUACUUACGUGUAAGUAGCUGAAUGUACCGAAGGAAUAAGGAUCGGCUAACUCCGUGCCAGCAGCCGCGGUAAUACGGAGGAUCCAAGCGUUAUCCGGAUUUAUUGGGUUUAAAGGGUGCGUAGGCGGCCUGUUAAGUCAGGGGUGAAAGACGGUAGCUCAACUAUCGCAGUGCCCUUGAUACUGAUGGGCUUGAAUACACUAGAGGUAGGCGGAAUGUGACAAGUAGCGGUGAAAUGCAUAGAUAUGUCACAGAACACCGAUUGCGAAGGCAGCUUACUAUGGUGUCAUUGACGCUGAGGCACGAAAGCGUGGG
rnacentral:rRNA from 1 species